UGAUUUAGCAAAAUGAUUCUGUUCUCUAUGUUGCAAAAUAGGCAUUCUCAUCGAAACCUAAAGCAUUCCCAAAGCUACUGACUAAACAACAGUGAAAAUUUUGAAGAAUUUGCAUGUUCAUAGUAAAAACUACAUGCAAUUUACUUCUCCAAAAUGACUCUGUGAAGAACACUAUCUUAUUCUAUUAACCUUCUCAAUGACCAAAAAGAAAAACUCGAGAAGAACAUAGAGCCAUGUUUGCUGCCUGGAUUCGAAAGUUAGGUGGUCCAAUUGGGUCAAACAGUGCGAGCAAUACGUCAAUGGCUGCUUCAGGUCACAUAGACCUUUGUCCAUUGGGUGCCAACCUUGUCAAAUAUUGACAUCUUGUUUGUCAAGUUGUCUGAGAGAAUCACAGUUAAUCCAAGCGCUCAAGACAAAACUCAGUCCAUAUGCAGACGGGGAAAAGAGAUACAUCCCUACCCCCCCCGGGAGCAAGCGAGGAAAGCCAGCAGCCAUUUGCUUUCUCCCACUCUUCCUCUUCUCCUUCCCUACCCACACCUACUCCCGCAGCUGGGUUCAGAGAACAGCAACUGAGCUCUUGCCUGAGAUCCGUAGGGUGGAAGAGUUAUAUGGGCUUUCGAUGAUUGUGAGAGAACGGCAAGAGAAGGAACGAUGUUGUCGAUUCUUUUCCUGUAUGAGAUCGGGUUGUCCCCUCAAAGGAAGAAGAGCUGAUCAUGGUGCAAGCACGAAGGUGACAAAUGGUUGUGCCUGGCUCCUUGUAUGCCACACAUGGACACCAAUCUUUGGGUGAUUGGUGACUGUGGGUGGUGUGCAAGGAGCCAAGCAUGCCUCUUCUCUCUCUCUCUCUCUCUCCCUCUCUCUGUAUAUAAUAUAUGUCUAUCUCUUUAUUUUUCUCUCUAAAACACACGAAUCAUUUCAUUCAUUUCACUCCGCAGAGGUUCUCUCUGAGAGCACUAUAAUGUUCUCUCUGGUGUAUGCUUAUUUUAUUUGUCGAGAUGGUUCAGAAGAAGUGGAUGAAAUCUGUCUUUGCAUCAUAACUUUCUGUUGUAAUGAAGCAUUCUCUCUCU